AGUCACUGACAUUAGAUACCCGUGUAGUCCAGGGUGUAAACGCUGCCGACUUGGUGUUGGAAAUCCUUCGAGGGUAUUCAGUGCCGGAGAGAAGUUGUUAAGUCUGCUACUUGGGGAGUACGUCCGCAAGGAUGAAACUUAAAGGAAUUGGCGGGGGAGCACCGCAACGGGAGGAGCGUGCGGUUUAAUUGGAUUCAACACCGGAAAACUCACCAGGGGAGACUGUUACAUGAAACCCAGACUAAUGAUCUUGGUUGAUUUUCAG
rnacentral:rRNA from 1 species